GAAUUUAGCUUUCUGUUAUUAGCCUACCAGCUAUGUCCAUCACAGCUGAAAUUUCUGUGUCUGACUGUAUCUUAUGGCAUAGCAAAGGAGAAACCAAAGUCACUUCUGUCAUUCAGCCCAAUAAGUCACUGCAGCUAAUUCUAGGAUUCCGGUCAAAUUCUGUAAUAUGAGUGGAACAGAUACUAAAAAUCUCAUAUGCAAAGAUGCUGGAUAUACGGCGUGAACAAUUUGUGGAGGACCUGAAAAGCUAUUCUAAGCAGGUUGAAGAACUUAGCACAUUUGGGGAUGUUCAAGAAGUCACCAGAUAUUUGAAGAAAGCUCAAGCACUAAAUACAAAGUUAGAUCUUGCUGCUGAAAAGAUCGAUCAAUUUAAUGCAGAAGAAGAGGCCUUUGGAUGGCCGGUAUCUCAGUACCCUCAGCACAGAACAAUCCGGAAUGUUCUUGCUCCUUAUCUACGUCUCUAUGAAAUGACUGUUGAAUUCAACAGAAAACACGAAAACUGGACAGAGGGGUCAUUUAUGGAAGUGGAUCCAGACAAAGUAGAGGGAGAUGUAGGAAACUGCUGGCACGGAUUGUAUAAGCUAGAAAAAACUUUCCAGAAUUCUCCAAGUGCUUUAGCACUAACGCGGCAGGUUAAAUCAAAAGUAGAGGAAUUCAAAGGCCACAUUCCUCUAAUUCAGGUGAUUUGCAAUCCUGGCUUGCAGGAAAGGCACUGGGAAGAAAUGUCAACUAUUGCUGGUUUCCCUCUAUCUCCUUCUGAAGACUCAAAUCUUUUGUCUUACAUUAAUUUGCACCUUGAACCAUUCCUAGAACAAUUUGAAACGAUCAGUGAAACAGCUAGCAAAGAAUAUUCACUUGAGAAAGCUUUAACAAAAAUGAUUUCUGAAUGGGAUCAAAUGGAGUUCACUCUUCUUGCCUACAGAGAAACAGGAACCCAUAUUUUGUCAUCUGUAGAUGAUAUUCAGUUGUUACUGGACGAUCACAUUGUCAAAACUCAGACUAUGAGAGGCUCUCAAUUCAUUAAGCAUUAUGAGAAGAGGAUAAGGUAAGCUUUCUGUUUAGUUUUCCAAUGGAAAGUCACCAAGUGAUUUUACCUAUAAGAAAUGAUAUAUUCUGGUUAAUUAAGUGUAUAGAACCGUCAUUCGUUUUUGUCCUUCUUAAGCAGUGAAUUAGUCUCAUCUUCAAGAGCUAAGGCUUUUGGCUAUGUCAAAGAAAGCAUUAUUUACUUUUAAGCACGAUUUUUACUUCUAAUUAAAAGCGCUAAUGCUUUGGAGAGGCCACAAAACGGAUUUGACAUGCUCUGGUACUGAAGGUAGCAGAUACUGUAACAUUGCUUUUGUUUAACCAAGUAGUGUGUAUUUGAGUUAAAGAAGGAAAGAUUGUGAACAACAAACAUCUAGAUUAACCUUUCUACAUAAAUUUUAAAGCUGCUGAAUCUUUUAGCUGUUC
rnacentral:lncRNA from 7 species